rnacentral:rRNA from 1 species
AAUUGGAAAUUCCGGAACCGGGGUUAACCCGAUAAAUUUUGAACCGCUGGUUAAAAAAGAAGGGGGUUUGCCUUCAUUUAGGAGGCCCCCCCUCCCUUAAUUUUUUGGGAGGAAAGGCCCCCCAAGGAAAGGGUGGUUGCCCCCCUGAGGGGGUUUUCGCCCCCCGGGGAUGGAACCCCGCCCCAAUUUCUUCGGGGGGCGCAUUGGGAUUUUUCCCCAAGGAAGAAAUUCGGAGGAGCAACCCCGCUUGAAUGAUGAAGGCUUUCGGGUCGUAAAAUUUUGUGUUAGGGAAGAACAAAUGCUAGUUGAAUAAGCUGGCACCUUGACGGUACCUAACCAGAAAGCCACGGCUAACUACGUGCCAGCAGCCGCGGUAAUACGUAGGUGGCCAGCGUUUUCCGGAAUUAUUGGGCGUAAAGCGCGCGCAGGUGGUUUCUUAAGUCUGAUGUGAAAGCCCACGGCUCAACCGUGGAGGGUCAUUGGAAACUGGGAGACUUGAGUGCAGAAGAGGAAAGUGGAAUUCCAUGUGUAGCGGUGAAAUGCGUAGAGAUAUGGAGGAACACCAGUGGCGAAGGGGACUUUUUGGUCUGUAACUGACACUGAGGCGCGAAAGCGUGGGGAGCAAACAGGAUUAGAUACCCUGGUAGUCCACGCCGUAAACGAUGAGUGCUAAGUGUUAGAGGGUUUCCGCCCUUUAGUGCUGAAGUUAACGCAUUAAGCACUCCGCCUGGGGAGUACGGCCGCAAGGCUGAAACUCAAAGGAAUUGACGGGGGCCCGCACCAGCGGUGGAGCAUGUGGUUUAAUUUGAAGCAACGCGAAGAACCUUACCAGGUCUUGACAUCCUUUGACAACCCUAGAGAUAGGGCUUUUCCUUCGGGAGCAGAGUGACAGGUGGUGCAUGGUUGUCGUCAGCUCGUGUCGUGAGAUGUUGGGUUAAGUCCCGCAACGAGCGCAACCCUUGAUUUUAGUUGCCAUCAUUUAGUUGGGCACUCUAAGGUGACUGCCGGUGACAAACCGGAGGAAGGUGGGGAUGACGUCAAAUCAUCAUGCCCCUUAUGACCUGGGCUACACACGUGCUACAAUGGACGGUACAAAGAGCUGCAAGACCGCGAGGUGGAGCUAAUCUCAUAAAACCGUUCUCAGUUCGGAUUGUAGGGUGCAACUCGCCUACAUGAAGCUGGAAUCGCUAGUAAUCGCGGAUCAGCAUGCCGCGGUGAAUACGUUCCCGGGCCUUGUACACACCGCCCGUCACACCACGAGAGUUUGUAACACCCGAAGUCGGUGGGGUAACCUUUUUGGAGCCAGCCGCCUAAGGUGGGACAGAUGAUUGGGGUGAAGUCGAACAAGAGCUAGGACAGCCUUCGAUG